CAAAAGAGCCCCCUUAAUUUUUUUAUAUACGUACUCCUUCGUUCUUGCUUUCUUUCUCCCUGGUUCUCCUCCGUCGGUUCUUCAUUGCCUCCUUAUAAAGCCUCAGCAAUAAGAUCAUCCUUUGGUCAUUUAAGAGUUUAAUCGUCUUUGCGAUGAUCACAAGCAAGUUUCAGAAGUUAGAAAAUUUUUGAAGGUCUGACUCAAUAAGUGGUAAGAGCCCAACAAAUAAUAAAA